rnacentral:rRNA from 1 species
UACGUAGGGUGCGAGCGUUGUCCGGAAUUAUUGGGCGUAAAGAGCUCGUAGGCGGUGUGUCGCGUCGGCCGUGAAAACCUGGGGCUCAACUCUGGGCGUGCGGUCGAUACGGGCAUCACUUGAGUUCGGCAGGGGAGACUGGAAUUCCUGGUGUAGCGGUGAAAUGCGCAGAUAUCAGGAAGAACACCCGUGGCUAAGGCGGCUCUCUAGUACGGUACUGACGCUGAGACGCGAAAGCGUGGGGAGCGAACAGG